rnacentral:lncRNA from 1 species
CAAAACUGUGCUGUGGUUAAGAUGUUAACAUCUGAGGAAGCUCGGUGAACAACUCAGAAAAAUAAGGUUCUAACACGAGGAGCACUCCCCUAGCAGUGUGCAUCUGUGAUAUAAAGGGGAGGGGUUGGACUCUGGCUGGCUCCUCACCAAGCCCUGCAGAUGAGGACUCUCCUCCCUUGCCUCGGGCUGACCUGCCACACCCUUCCUUCUUCGGGCACAGCUCAAAGGCCGUUCCCUCCACCCAAGUCUUGCCUAUGUGCAUCAGCUGGCAGCGAGAGACCCACCUGGACAGCAGCCUUAAAGAAACAGGUCUAUUUGUGGGCUUUGAUGAAGAAGAAACGGCUGCCCGUAUUUUUAGCUCACAAAUCAACUUUUAAUUCUUCUCGUUCUACAAAUAGGAAGUAACAUUCCACAAAGUAGAAGCAAUAAAAAUUAAGAUGUUUUGAAGACAAGCCAAUUCUGCUCCCUUGCACUCAAUACAUGAACACGCUAGUGUUGGACUCUGAUUACCCUGCCCCCUCCAGGCAGUGAUGGCAAAACACAACAUCCAUUCGUGAACAUUUAGUUGGCGACCACUCAUAUCCAACCUGUUCGUUAUCUGAUGGUGAGGUGUGCCCUGGCCAGCACCAGCAUCACCUGGGGACUUUUUAAAAAUGCAAAUUACUGGGGCCCACCCCAGACCACUGAGGC